rnacentral:rRNA from 1 species
GACGAACCGUGCGAACGUUAUUCGGAAUCACUGGGCUUAAAGCGCGUGUAGGCGGGACGGCACGUCGGUGGCUGAAAUCCCCCGGCUUAACCGGGGAACGGGCGUCGAUACGACCGUCCUGGAGGGGCGUAGGGGGACCUGGAACUUCCGGUGGAGCGGUGAAAUGCGUUGAGAUCGGAAGGAACGCCCGUGGCGAAAGCGAGGUCCUGGACGCCUACUGACGCUGAGACGCGAAAGCCAGGGGAGCGAACGGG